CUUGCUGCAGUGACAUGCAGUUUCUCAAAUUAUCACCCUCAUCGAAGCAGGCCGGAGGUCGCGUCCGGGCAAACGAAGGAACGAAUGAAAAAAGUCGGACAAAAAUCGCACAAGAUGUGAUGAAGAAUCUGCUGCAAUGUCAAAUAUUGACAUCGAUCGAACGCCUUCACUACCUCAAAAGAUCGAAAGUCGGUGUAACAGUGAGUCAGCUCGUUAGCAGGAUUUGUUUAGCCUUCGAAAAGACGCUCGAAAGUUAGGCAUUUGUAAGGUGUGCUUUUGAAGAGUGAAACAUCCUCGUGGCGCGGCAUGAAAAAUCAACCAGCAUUCUUCAGUUUGGCCAAAGACGACUGCCAGCUGCCAUAAUCGUCAAGCGUUCUCGGUGCACCACACGCACGCCUACCACGCGAAGGUGCUGAUCCGUCGGGACCAAUACCAUCCCACCCUCCACAGGCACCGGCUCGAUUGUCAACCAACUGUAAUCAACUAACAAGAACGGCCAUAAUCCGGGAUGAUUGGUUCACGGUUUAGCAAGGAAUGCAGCAGCAUCGUGUGGGUUCGGAAAUUGAAUUUAUUGAUUUGCAACCCUCGGCCGAAGAAACCCGGCUAAAAAAGGAUGGCUUCCUGUAGCAAAGAAAGAUGGCUCAUUCAAAUGACAGCACACGAACCAUCUAAGCAUACACGAGCGAGCGAGUCCCGGCUGCAGUUCAAACAUAAUUCAUCAAAAUGAAGGAUGAUCGAUAACUGGAGAAUGGUGCCAUAUAAAUACAGUAACUGAAGAUAACGCUUAAGGUGUUACACAUGCGUCUAACAACAUGAGC